rnacentral:rRNA from 1 species
GAUGAACGCUAGCGGCAGGCUUAACACAUGCAAGUCGAGGGGCAGCGCAGGUAGCAAUACUGGGCGGCGACCGGCAAACGGGUGCGGAACACGUACUGAAUCUACCUUUAUCUGGGGCAUAGCCCGAAGAAAUUCGGAUUAACUCCCCAUAAUAUAGAUGAGUGGCAUCACUUGACUAUUAAAAUUACAUUGGAUAGAGAUGACAGUGCGUCCCAUAGCUAGUUGGUAGGGUAACGGCCUACCAAGGCGACGAUGGGUAGCUGGUGUGAGAGCACGACCAGCCACACGGGCACUGAGACACGGGCCCGACUCCUACGGGAGGCAGCAGUGAGGAAUAUUGGUCAAUGGACGCAAGUCUGAACCAGCCAUGCCGCGUGAAGGAUGAAGGCCUUC